rnacentral:tRNA from 1 species
UAUUAAAUAGCUUAAAGUAAGCAUUGGAAUUUUAAACCAACUAUAAUAAUUAACGAUUAUUUUUAAUAA